rnacentral:rRNA from 1 species
GACGUAGGUGGCGAACGUUAUCCGGAAUCAUUGGGCGUAAAGGGUGCGUAGAGGGCAUGAUAAGUUAUUAGUGGGAAAUCGAGGCUCAACCUCGUGGAAGCUAGUAAUACUGUUUUGCUUGAGUACAGAAGAGGUUAACGGAACUCCAUGUGGAGCGGUAAAAUGCGUAGAUAUAUGGAAGAACACCAAUAACGGCGAAGGCAGUUAACUAUUCUGUUACUGACAUUGAGGCACGAAAGCGUGGGGAGCAAAACGG